AUAGAAAUUACCUUCUUAGUAUAAAAUAACUGGAUUAAGAAAUCAUAUGAAUUAGAAACUUUGAAGAUUUCCUUGAAAACUGCAUUAAAGGAAGACAUAAGUUUGAAUUAAAAUAUUUUGGAAUGAGUGAUGCAUGCAUGAAAUAUAAAGUUUGAAGAUUGUAAGAUGAUAUGAUAAAAAGUACAUCUUUUUAUUCUUAUAACUCUUUCCUCCUAAGAGAAAGACUAAGACUGCCCAUUUCUUAUUCUUUGUAGAGACUCUCUUCACAUGAGGAUACACACACACGCAUGUCCAUGUAACUUUCAUCACUUGCCAAGAAUCUCCUCUUCAUAAUGGAAGGCCAUUCUGUUCAUGGUAGAAAUGCACCCAGCUAAAGUACAACAGCUCCCAAGUAACUUGCCCUUUGGGAAGCUGUUCCUGCAGUUCUGGCCAAUGAGAGGGAAGCAGAGGAGACUGUUGGGGUUUCAGAAGGUCCUUAGAAGAGUGCAGAAAGCAGGGUUCCAGUCUUUGUGCCUGACUCGGAGCAGCCAUGGUUGGCUUCACCUCAGGGCUCCCGGUGUUAAGCUUCCACAGGGCUGGAUGACGGACAACCUUGGGAGAUUUCCAUGGCCAGGGAGCAGUGCUCAGGCUGGCAAGAGACACCUGGGUGUUGUAAGCCAAAUGACGCGGGCCCGACCCCACACCAGGAGCCAGGCUCAGCCUGAAUUUCCAUGGAUUUGAGAGUCCCUGAGCCAACACCCAACCCUAACCCUACUGCCUGCUUGCAGGUGAUCACCAAGCACGGAGCUGGACCCCAGUGGACUCCUUUUCUACCGGUGAGAGCAGAGUCACACCUUGAGUUGGCACUGCCGCAAGAAUGUUGACCAAGAAGGUACCACAGGCGUGAAAUCACAGGGAAACUGUUGGGGUUCAUUCCUGCUUUUGCUCGUUAACUUUUUUCCUUUGGUUGUGUUAACUGAUACUUUCUAGUAUUUUCAUGAGUGUGAACAUUGCUUUUACUUUUGUUUUGGUUUUUCCUCUCUUCUUCCCUCCUGUCUUCCUCAUCACUCCCUGAGGGUUGAGUGAUAUUCCUCCACCCACCAGCCUUGCU
rnacentral:lncRNA from 1 species